CUAAAUGUAUUUUUAUUGUAAUUCCCCCAUUUCACCAUGUGGUUGCAGUAUGGACUGAAAGUAUAGGAGGGUCGAGCACAGCAGAGCGUCACAUCUAUGCUUAGCACACUAACACCCAAUAUAGAAUAUCUUGGGGCACUAGGAGUGCUUUAGUUAUAAGCUAGUAUAGUCAAGACACUACAUGUUGAUAUGUACAUGUACAGUGAAAUGUUCUAGUGGAAAGCAUAACCACAAAAUAGCAGUUGUAGGCUGUGGCUGCAGUACCCCCAGUUGUCCAUGUGAGGGCUCUAGAAAUGAAGGCUUUACUGUAGCACACCUGACUCAUCUAUUUCUAUCUAAAGCUGCAUUUCCUCCAAUCCAGUACUGACAGUUCGCAAAAAAAAAAAUCUGCUGGCGUGAGGAAGAAGACUAUUUUUAGAUCCGGGUGAUUCAUUUUCAGCACUGAGACUGCACCAAAGGAGCCAAAAUGGGGGAGUCUUAUAGAUGCAGAAUAUGAGGAUUGACUUCUGAGCACUUGUGUCCUGCAGCUUAUCCAUAUGAACUGGGUGCAGCAGGGCCUUGAAUGAACCGGGCCGGAUGCAGACUACCCUCCUCGUGCUGCGUAUAAACGUGAGGCCCGUACUGGUGGCCUGCCGUGACUCUGCAGCCUGCUCCCUCCCUGUAUUCUGAUCACACGGGUGUUUGUGGAUUUUGUGAACAACUAACCCUGUGGGAGGAGGGGGGGUUACUGCUGACAGGGAAUUUUGCAACCAAAUGUAAUUCUGGACCUUAAUCCAAGGUGGAGUGAUUGUAGACUCAUUAAUAUGAAAACUGAUUUCCUUUUCUUCCUUUUUUUGUCUUCCUUUUUUAAACACUCAUUUAAUAUAUUAUAUAUACUGUACAUGUGUUUUCUUGUUUUAGUUGUGCUGCCGACUCUGUGCCGUAAAUAUUUAGUUGCUUGCUACAUUGGAGUUGGAAUGACAUAUGAUACAGGGAUCGAGCAGAAGUUACAGCGCUCAGCAUGUAGAGAUUAAAGGAGUGUUACAUUGACACGGUAGGAAUGUUCUCUCCGUACUGACUGGGGAAGUCAGACGAAGCGAGAACAUGGCGAUUCAAUAAAGGGGUUCAGUUUGUUUGACUAUCAAAUAGUUGAAUUGAACAGAGAAGAGACGGAUUCCAUUCGCCGGGUUACUUUUCUGUAAACUAGCCCUGAUCUGUGCCGCAGCAGUGUUAGAGGAUUAACAUGCUUUGUGAAUAGGCAGCCAGGUAAUGAGUGCGGGAGAAGGCAGAGAAUAAACCUUGCAUGCCUUCAUUGCUGCUAAGCUGGUUAAAAAUAGAGGCAGAAGAGAGGGAUUGGGAGAACCGGCGUGGACAGAAACGAUGGGGGAUGGAGGAAACGGCUGAAUUGACUGCAAGCAAAGUAAGUGAGGAAGGAUUUACCAGGGACCUGAUGGGCAAACAUCAUGUGUAUGACAAUGAUGAGCAUGUUGGGCUGCAUGCUGUUGGCUUGGUUGGCAAGAAAGACAAACUGUGUGAGAGAGGAGCACGGGGGAGGCCGAGACAAUGGCACCACGGUGAGUGACGCUGUCGAGACGCCCUCUCGAUAUGGAAGGCAUGCAAGAGGAACGGAAAGAGAGAAG